rnacentral:rRNA from 1 species
GAUGAACGCUAGCGGCAGGCUUAACACAAGCAAGUCGAGGGGUAUAGUUCUUCGGAGCUAGAGACCGGCGCACGGGUGCGUAACGCGUAUGCAAUCUACCUUUUGCAGAGGAAUAGCCCAGAGAAAUUUGGAUUAAUACCUCAUGGUAUGUGAGAAUGGCAUCAUUUUCACAUUAAAGUCACAACGGCAAAAGAUGAGCAUGCGUCCCAUUAGCUAGUUGGUAAGGUAACGGCUUACCAAGGCAACGAUGGGUAGGGGUCCUGAGAGGGAGAUCCCCCACACUGGUACUGAGACACGGACCAGACUCCUACGGGAGGCAGCAGUGAGGAAUAUUGGACCAUGGGCGCAAGCCUGAUCCAGCCAUGCCGCGUGCAGGAUGACGGUCCUAUGGAUUGUAAACUGCUUUUGUACAGGAAGAAACACUGGUUCGUGAACCAGCUUGACGGUACUGUAAGAAUAAGGAUCGGCUAACUCCGUGCCAGCCGCCGCCGUAAUAC